CUGUAAUCCCAGCUACUUGGGAGGCUGAGGAAUGAGAAUCACUUGAACCCAGAAGGCGGAGGUUGCAGUGAGCUGAGAUCCGGCCACUGCAUUCCAGACUGGGCAACAGGCAAGACUUUGUCUCAAAAUAAUAAUUGGCAAAUAAAUUAUGUGAAAACAACUUUUUAUAUUAGCCUCAAGAAAGAUGAACUCUUUAUCACCUUGAGUCUUUCUCUCUCCUAGGAGCAAAAACCUUUUUUUUUUUUUUUUUUUUUGGUAGAGGACCACCCCCCUAGAACCCUUCUUCUAAUAUCUUAGAGGUUAGAACUGCUUCACAUACAUUCCUCCACCAAACACUGGCAAGGAGGAUGGACUAUCCAUGAUUGGCUUAGGGUAAUUAAGAUUCAAGUUACAUGGCCUCCUAAUAUGCAAAAAGACCUGGGGCUCUUGAUAAUCUACAUCUUUGACACAAUUAGUCACUUCUCUUGCAUUAUAUUUUGCUUCCAGCCCUUGGCAGAAUGGUCUAAUAGUCAAUGACCCUGUCACCAACUUCUUUUUUUUUUUCCUAAACCUACUUUCUAUCUUCCACUCCUCAGGAGUUCCUGACACCCAUCAUUGUUUUUUGUUUUUUUCUUUUUCUUUCUGUCAGAAACUCCUCUCAAAUCAAAUGGAAUUGCGAAAGUCAGGAUAAGACAAUAUAUCACUAUCUGUGGUAUGCAGAAUAAUGGUCCCCUAAAGAUGUCUACAUCUUGAUCUUUGGAAUCUGUGUAUCAGGUUACAUGGAAAGGAGAAUUAAGGCUCCUAACACUGAUAUGGUGAAUCCUGUACCACGCUUCUAUCCUGCAGAAUUAUAAAAUAAAUUUGUAUUACUUUAAGCUACUAAGUUUGUGGUAAUUUCUUACAGAAGUGAUAGAAAACACAAUACACUUUCCAAAAAUAUUUACAUUUUAACAAGGGACAAAGCCCUUCCUUGACUUAGCAUAUUUUUCGUUGCAAGAGAUAGAAACUUGAUUCAAAACAAAAAAGGAUCUAUUGGGUCACAUCACCAUCCAACUGUGGAAAAGACAGGAAUGGAACUGUGUCAGGAAGGCCUAGAACCAGACGUUAACAUCAUCCCCCAUCCCCAGUCACUGGGCAUCUGUAUCUGUUCUCUUCAUUCACGCCAGCUUAGUCCCAACAGCAGGGAACUUGGCCAACCACAGCUCUAGGUCUGCCCCCAUGACUCAAACACCUCCCAUUAGGCCCCAUCUCCAAUCCUGGGGAUCAAAUUUCAACAUGAGGUUUGGAGGGGAAGAAUUUCCAAACCAUAGCAUUCCACCCCUGGCCCCCAAAACUGAUGUCCUUCCCACAUGUAAAGUACAAUCAUCCAUCUCAACGGUCCCAAAUGUCUUAAGUUGUUCCAGUACCAACUCAAAUGUCCAAAGUCCAAAAUCUCAUCUGAGAUUCAAGAACAGUUCCUUUCAGCUAUGAGCAUGUAAAAUAAAAAACAAGUUAUUUCAUUCCAAGAUACAAUGGUUAUACAGGCAUUCCCAUGUCAAACAUUCCCAUGUCAAAUGGGAGAAAUCAGUGAAAAGAAAAGGGUAAUAGGCCCCAUGCGUGUCCAAAACCCAGCAGGGCAGGCAUUAAAUCUUAAAACUCCAAAAUAAUCUCCUCUAUGUCCCACAACCUGGGCACACUGGUGGGUCCUGAGGCCUUGAGCAGACCCAUCCCUGUGGCUUUUC
rnacentral:lncRNA from 1 species